UAGGGGCGAAAGACUAAUCGA
rnacentral:ncRNA from 3 species